rnacentral:rRNA from 1 species
UACGGAGGGGGCUAGCGUUGUUCGGAAUUACUGGGCGUAAAGCGCACGUAGGCGGCUUUGUAAGUUAGAGGUGAAAGCCCGGAGCUCAACUCCGGAACUGCCUUUAAGACUGCAUCGCUUGAACGUCGGAGAGGUAAGUGGAAUUCCGAGUGUAGAGGUGAAAUUCGUAGAUAUCGAGAGGAACACCAGUGGCGAAGGCGACUGACUGGACCGGUACUGACGCUGAGGCGCGAAAGCGUGGGGAGCAAACGGG